rnacentral:rRNA from 1 species
UACGGGGGGGGCAAGCGUUGCUCGGAAUUACUGGGCGUAACGCGCACGUAGGCGGCUCGUUAAGUCGGUGGUGAAAUCCUGGAGCUCAACUCCAGAACUGCCUUCGAUACUGGCGAGCUUGAGUUCGGGAGAGGUGAGUGGAACUGCGAGUGUAGAGGUGAAAUUCGUAGAUAUUCGCAAGAACACCAGUGGCGAAGGCGGCUCACUGGCCCGAUACUGACGCUGAGGUGCGAAAGCGUGGGGAGCAAACAGG